rnacentral:tRNA from 1 species
UGUCAAGUAAUUCAGUAGGUUAGAAUGUUUGUCUGAUAUGCAAAAUGUCGUAAGUUCGAGUCUUACCUUGACAACCA